AUCUUCAUUUCCUCAACUCCUAGGAAGUGGGAUUACCAGCUUUCUGAUUUCCCUUCUUGUCCCUCUCUGAACGUAAUGCAUCCAGCCUCUCUUGGCUUGGAU